rnacentral:rRNA from 1 species
GAUGAACGCUGGCGGCGUGCCUAAUACAUGCAAGUCGAGCGAACGGACGAGAAGCUUGCUUUUCUGAUGUUAGCGGCGGACGGGUGAGUAACACGUGGAUAACCUACCUAUAAGACUGGGAUAACUUCGGGAAACCGGAGCUAAUACCGGAUAAUAUUUUGAACCGCAUGGUUCAAAUGUGAAAGACGGUCUUGCUGUCACUUAUAGAUGGAUCCGCGCUGCAUUAGCUAGUUGGUAAGGUAACGGCUUACCAAGGCAACGAUGCAUAGCCGACCUGAGAGGGUGAUCGGCCACACUGGAACUGAGACACGGUCCAGACUCCUACGGGAGGCAGCAGUAGGGAAUCUUCCGCAAUGGGCGAAAGCCUGACGGAGCAACGCCGCGUGAGUGAUGAAGGUCUUCGGAUCGUAAAACUCUGUUAUUAGGGAAGAACAUAUGUGUAAGUAACUGUGCACAUCUUGAAGGUACCUAAUCAGAAAGCCACGGCUAACUACGUG